rnacentral:lncRNA from 1 species
CUAGAAUUACUCACUUUUUCACAAUUUAUUUUUUCACCUCUUGUAUGGAUAACUGCUUGUCCUGCCUGCUUUCUGUAUGGGGAAGUUAAGCUUGCUGAAGUUCAGCACAUUGUUGUCUCUAAUGCUUUUUAGUUUAUAGGGCUCUGACUCUGAUCCAGCUGGCCUGUAGAGAGAUUACGAAACCCACAGUGGGAUUCCCCCAAGAGGAAUUUAAUUCCCCCAAAGGGAAUUAAGCAUGAAAGUAAGGCCCCAUCCAUCUCCAUUAGAGCAGGAGCGUUGUCAUGUCCGCAGUUGGCCACAAGAUGUCGGUGUCAGAGAGAAAGUUGGCGUGGGGGACUUGGGAGCUUGGAGGCAGAGCUGAGCCGCCUGUUCCCAGCUCUGGGAACACUGCGAGGAGCAGUUGCUGCAUUGGGCCCUAGCGCUGGGAACUGGUGCAGCAUUGUUCGAGCUUGAAGCUACAGUGCAGUUCAGGAUUUUUUUUAUUUUUUUUUUCCAGCUGUUUGCAGGGUGUGUUUUGUUUAGUUUGUACAAUCAGACUCAUUAGAAAAGCUGAGAACUCCCAGAGGCAGAUAAUUCUUCUCUCUGCGAUGUUCUGAUGGAGAAAUGCACUUCUUACAUUUCCGGAUAUCCCCUUCUCAGAAGUCACUUGUGGUUGUCCCUGAAGGGUUCUAUCUGUCCCUCAGAAAAUAUCCUGCAAGGCAGCACAGCUCAGAGUACCCUUCCUGCAUCCCCUGUGGUGCAGGGCAGAAGGCUGUUCAGCUGGAGCCCCAGGGAUUUAUCAGAUUUUCAGCCAAAGUUCAUACCUAAAGUCAGGGGCCAGGAAGCAAGACAGUUGAGUGGAUGGGAUCGCCUCACAGGAAGAAGAAAAAGCAAAAAACAGGGCAAGAGGUGGAUUUUCUUUUCUCUCUCGUGCCUUGUAAAGAGGAAGAAGCGCUGGCUUUGCACAGUGGCCAGAUAGCAGUUAAGGACCAUGAGACUGACAGAGAAAAGUGAUGUGCAAGAAUUCUUCAGCUGAAGCUGUUUUCACAGGAAGGAGAAGGACCAGCUGGUGGAAAUCAUGUGCCAUUACAGAAAUAACUGAGCAGCAGGAUACCUUCAGUUGGCUAUAAAACAGGGAUGAACAGCAGGAGUGAUGUUGCUGAAGCAGUCCUUUGGGAUUUUCUGUGCAAAAUGCAGCUAGGAAAAAAAAUAUUCCAUGGCUGUUUUUCUGUUUUGAUCUUCUGAAUAUUUGUCUUUGUCUUCCUAGGACACUUAUUUCAUAAAAAAUGUCUGAUGAUCGUUCCUCAGGCAAAACAUUCUCAAGGUCGUAAUGAUGCUUCCACAUGUCACCUGAAAGCAUUUUUAUUUACUAUUUGGCAGUGUCAAAAUAAAUGGUUACUAUUAAGUAGCCUGUCA